AAGCUUGCUUCUGAUACUUAGUGGCGGACGGGUGAGUAAUGCUUAGGAAUCUGCCUAGUAGUGGGGGAUAACUUGGGGAAACCCAAGCUAAUACCGCAUACGACCUACGGGUGAAAGGGGGCUUUUAGCUCUCGCUAUUAGAUGAGCCUAAGUCGGAUUAGCUGGUUGGUGGGGUAAAGGCCUACCAAGGCGACGAUCUGUAGCUGGUCUGAGAGGAUGAUCAGCCACACUGGGACUGAGACACGGCCCAGACUCCUACGGGAGGCAGCAGUGGGGAAUAUUGGACAAUGGGCGAAAGCCUGAUCCAGCCAUGCCGCGUGUGUGAAGAAGGCCUUUUGGUUAUAAAGCACUUUAAGUGGGGAGGAAAAGCUUAUGGUUAAUACCCAUAAGCCCUGACGUUACCCACAGAAUAAGCACCGGCUAACUCUGUGCCAGCAGCCGCGGUAAUACAGAGGGUGCAAGCGUUAAUCGGAAUUACUGGGCGUAAAGCGCGCGUAGGUGGUUAUUUAAGUCAGAUGUGAAAG
rnacentral:rRNA from 1 species